CAUCAGUAGCCGCGGUAAUACAGAGGGUGCGAGCGUUAAUCGGAUUUACUGGGCGUAAAGCGUGCGUAGGCGGCUUUUUAAGUCGGAUGUGAAAUCCCUGAGCUUAACUUAGGAAUUGCAUUCGAUACUGGGAAGCUAGAGUAUGGGAGAGGAUGGUAGAAUUCCAGGUGUAGCGGUGAAAUGCGUAGAGAUCUGGAGGAAUACCGAUGGCGAAGGCAGCCAUCUGGCCUAAUACUGACGCUGAGGUACGAAAGCAUGGGGAGCAAACAGGAUUAGAUACCCCCGUAGUCCCUGUCUCUUAUAC
rnacentral:rRNA from 1 species